CUCUCUGUCAAUUUGUCACUUUUGUGUUCUAUUAGGACUCCAUAAAUUUGAUUUGAUUGGAGAGAGCAGCAUGAAGCGCUACAGGAAUGGUGAAAUCUGGGACUUCGAACACGAAAUUGCGGUGCCCGGUGACCGCCCGGUGAUUUUAGGAUUGGACGGUGGAACAACAUCCACCGUAUGUAUAUGCAUGCCGGUUCUACCUGUCUCCAAUCCUCUUCCGGACCCACUUCCUGUGCUUGCCCGUGCCGUCGCCGGUUGCUCAAACCACAACAGUGUCGGUGAAACUGCUGCUAGAGAAACAUUG
rnacentral:misc_RNA from 1 species